GUGCUGGGGGCUGCGGGGGGGACUGGCGCCCAUCCCCCCUGGGCUGCACUGCUGCCUUGAGCACCGUGGGCGGCUGCGCGAUGCCGCUCACCGCCUCCACGCGCUGGCCUGGGGGAGGCGCUGAGCCCCUCCUGUGUCCCCAGUGUCACCUGCUGUCCCCCUCCCGGGAAAGACCCUGUGGGUCCCCAGGGUGCAGCAGAGACCCUCAUGGGGUCCUGGAGGGGCUUGGGAGGGAGGGUCCCUGGGGGUCAGCUGGGACCUUCACGGGGUCCUGGGGGUGGCUUGGGAGAGUUCCUGGGGGGGCUGCAAGGAACUUCACAGCAUCCUGGGUUGCUCGGGAGGGCCCCUGGAAGACCCUGGGGGGAAGCAGGGCCCUUCAAGGGGUGCUGGGGGGCUCAGGCAAGCCCCAGGGAGCCCACUGUAGCCACAUCCAGGUGGCCUUUUAUCGCUCCACGGUUAGAGACCCCAGAACCUCCCCGAGGAGCCUCAGUCACCCCCACAGUAAAGAAGUGUCCUCCCAA